rnacentral:rRNA from 1 species
CUACGGGACGCAGCAGUGGGGAAUAUUGCACAAUGGGCGCAAGCCUGAUGCAGCCAUGCCGCGUGUAUGAAGAAGGCCUUCGGGUUGUAAAGUACUUUCAGCGGGGAGGAAGGGAGUAAAGUUAAUACCUUUGCUCAUUGACGUUACCCGCAGAAGAAGCACCGGCUAACUCCGUGCCAGCGGCCGCGGUAAUACGGAGGGUGCAAGCGGUAAUCGGAAUUACUGGGCGUAAAGCGCACGCAGGCGGUUUGUUAAGUCAGAUGUGAAAUCCCCGGGCUCAACCUGGGAACUGCAUCUGAUACUGGCAAGCUUGAGUCUCGUAGAGGGGGGUAGAAUUCCAGGUGUAGCGGUGAAAUGCGUAGAGAUCUGGAGGAAUACCGGUGGCGAAGGCGGCCCCCUGGACGAAGACUGACGCUCAGGUGCGAAAGCGUGGGGAGCAAACAGGAUUAGUACCCUGGUAGUC